CACACUAAACUAUGUAUAUCAAUUCUACAACAAGAUGGUAUACUAUUUGGUGGAACCACACAAGCAGGACCUUCGCAUCGUUGCGACACGCGAACUCAUCAAGAGCUGCUCAAAAGCGAUGAUGCCGCAAAGAAGACAAAGCGAAGGAAAAAAGCAAAGAAAGACAACAUUGAACAUCGAUUAUCACUCAGGUGGACUGAAGGAAGUGCAGUGAAUAACUAUGAAGUUUCAUUUGAAGUUCGACCAACGGCCAUUAGAAGGUGAUGGACAUGUUUGUACCGGUACAUAGGAAUCUUCGGACCAUUUGCUCCUCCGCCCAGCCAACUGCACUUGCAAAGGAAGAGGGCGCUAAACAGCUUAAACACUGCUUCGUGCAUUCGAUUGUCUGGAGUAUUCGAAGUAAGAGAAUUCGAUAAUCUUCUAGCAGUAGCGAUAAAUACAUUUUUGUCGCUCAACAUACUUUCAAAAUUGUCUAAAGCUUCUAUGUUUUCUAUUUCAGCCGGUCUAGGUGUUUCAUCAACUUCAUCUAUUGUAAAACAAUUUGAAGUACUCGCCGGGCAAUUUGGACAGGUAAAAGAGCUAUUCAAAACAUUCUUCUGGAUAAUAGCUUUCGUUA